GGUUUCGUAGUGUAGUGGUUCGUAAACUCUAAAUCCGCAUCUCGAUGAACUUCAAACCUAACAUACGACAGGCUAGCACUCGGGAUUCUGAAAACAGAGAUUUCCCGCAACCCCGGUUCGAUCCCGGGCGAGACCU